rnacentral:rRNA from 1 species
AUGUUCUUGCCGGAGAAUACUUUUGCAAAUGGUGUUGUUGUUCCUGAAUGUCCAGCAGAGGAUUCUUUUGCAAAAGCUACUGCAGAUGCUACAAUUGUGGUAUCUGAUUCAUCAUGUGAUUCUGAAAAGAAACAAGGCGAAGGUGCAUUCACGGGGAGCGGAGGGAAGAAUGAUCAAGAUGGAAGUGGAGGUUCUUCUAUCAAAGGGAAAGAGGUGGAGAAAGCCCCUCCACCAAAAAACCAUCUUGACCAUGGCUUACUUAUUACUCCCACUAUUCCUAUCAGGCAAGUGAGGCCAGAAGGUGUGAUAAGCCAUGUGAAACCAGGAGUUGAGGUAGAUACUGUCACAAGUGUGCAGAGGCCAACGGAAGAAAACGUUCCUCCUACAACUGGUUUGCUUCCUAUGCAUGAAGGUGAUGGUUCUGAAGGUACCGAACGUUCAUCCACCCCCACCUGCCCCGACAACUCAGCUGAGCAUCCCUGA